GUCUCCAGCCUGGGUGUGGUCUAAAUAACCAGUCACUGGGAAAGAUGCUGAAACUGAAGAAAGUGAAUUCAUAAUUGAGCAGUCAUCCUGGUCUGGAAUAGCGUCUUAAUGAGGGUAGAUCAAAGUGCUACUCAGUGUUGGCAGCUUUCUGUCUGUUGUCUCCUGAGUUAUAUCCAGACCCUUACUAAAGGGAAGAGUUCUCAAACCCUGAUAGGUGUCCUUGCAGCCUUCACUACUAGUAGAACAGGGACCCAGUAAAAUGGCUAGCGAUUUUAGACCAGUAACCAGUUCUCUUAACUCCCUGCCAGCCCUCCUUCCAGUUUCCAGGUCAUCCCCUUCAAAUGUUUCCCCCAAUCUUUUGUUCCUCCCUCAGUUCCCCAGCAGUCUGCUUAAACAGUCCCUUCUCCCAGUUUUCCCAAUACUCGCAGCUCCAAACCAAAACAACUGUUGUAGCCUAUCUGCUCAGCUCAGCUCCUCCUGGCUCAACUGUCUCCUAACAAUGUCUUCUGCACCGACUGCCUUCUCCUCUCACUCUGCUCCUCCCUUCCCUUCAGCCUCAGCUGGAAGUUUAUAUCCUGUGCUGUUCCUAGAAAUCCUCAAGGCAACCAGCACUGAAGGUCAUAGGGUCAAGCAAUUCUAACAGCUAAGACUUUUUAAAGGGCACAAAAUAAAUCACAUUUUGUUUUCCCCCAUUUUUUCACUACUAAUUAUGUAGUUAUGAAGCUGGUGGUCCCUGUUGCCAUGCUACUGUUGUGAUUUUUGCUUCUUUGCUCUUUCCAAUGUCUUUCAGGGUUCUCAGGUGUCUGAUGUGAUCUCUCAAGAGCAUAUCCAUAACUUAGAUACAAAUCUAACAUUGAUGCUUCUCUUAUAACUUGGAUACCGCUUCCUGAACCUUUAUGUUCCUAAAUUAUCUUACCUUCUAGAACCUUGUGUUCUGGAGUUCCUUGCUGAAGUCUCUUAAUCUCCACCCCCAUCUCUGUGAACCUUUGACUUGCAGACUUGGGCAUGCAGGAUGUGAUAUUCAUCAUAGUCUCUCUCUCUCUCUUUUUUUUUUUAAGAUUUAUUUAUUAUUAUAUGUAAGUACACUGUAGCUGCACCAGAAGAGGGAGUCAGAUCUCAUUACAGAUGGUAGUGAGCCACCAUGUGGUUGCUGGGAUUUGAACUCAGGACCUUUGGAAGAGCAGUCGGUGCUCUUAACCACUGAGCCAUCUCUUCAGCCCCAUAGUCUCUCUUAAAAGCCCUGCUCAUAGGCCUGCUGCUCUGCAUUCUGGAUGGCUCUGUAUUACAGGAGACCAAAGGCCUGCUCAAGGCAUGUCAGUGGUUCGAUGCUGAACAUUUAUUCUCCAGGCUUUUCUGGCUUGUAGGGAAGACAAUGGUUGGUCAGGCUCUCUUCUUUUUGGAUCAGUGGCCAAGGUUUUCAGAAGACCUCCCCUACUCAACAGUGAGCCUUAUUAGAUUUUUAAUGGUUUCCUGUAGAAAUAUAAGCAAAUCCAUGUCUCUAACACAAAACAUUUGCUGACUUCCAUUCUGAUGUGAACUCAUCCUUAUAGUAUAUAGACUGAUUUAAUUCCAUAGUUUUUUCUUUAACCCAGUGUCUCUCAGCUGCUGUUGUUCCUUUCUCAUUAAUGUUCAGAAAGUUUAAAGAGUACUAAUCAGUCUAUCCCUAGGGGGUCUUUAUUCUUCCUUUUAUAAUUUUUCUUUUAUAAGUCUUUAAGAUUUUAAGUUUCUUUAAGUUUCUAUGUAAGUCUUUAAGUUUUUACUUUGUUUCUGUGCUAAGAAGUUCCAUUCUAAAAUACUAUCUUCCCUUUGCAUAAUAAGCCCAGCAGGAGAAUGAACUAAAGGCAAAAUAACCAAAAUAAAAUCCAUUUUUGGGAUCUAUGAGAUUCACAUAUGCAUCUUGCAGUCUCUUUUCUACUAAAGUUAACUCUUUCUCUGCUUCCUUUGUCAGCUGUCUUGACCUAAGUCUGAAUCACCUGUAACAAAACAAACUACCUAACUCUUGAGUAGUUAAUCCAGUGGUGGGCUGUAGCCAAGUAACAUCUCCCAUUAAUAUUUGAAAUUGUUAAGAGUUUGCAACUGAUCUCUUCUGAUCUAUUUUUGAAAUUUUUGUUGACUUAUUUUAUAAGCUAGAUAGUAGAUAGACUCUUCUCUCUGUAUUUUCAGAAGCAAUUUACAAACCCCAACAAGGCAAAAAUACUUCCUGUUUCACCAAACAUUUUCUCUAAAAUAUUUGCAUUAGAAUCAGCCAACAAACUUUCAUCUAUCUAAUAAUAAGUAAUGGAAUGAGGAAAUUGCCUAUGAACUAUUUCUAGCAAUUGUCCAGAAUGCUGUCAUAGAGCUAGACUACUGAUUGAUGUUGGCUGUAGGUGCCAAAGAAGAGAAGCUUAUGAAGAUGCUAAGCCUUCAUUUUCCAAAGGAGUAGAGGAUUUAGCCUCCUUGGAAAGACUGACCCCUGGUUAGCUCACUCCAGUUCUUUCAUUCAAGUAUUAUAUAAAGUUAGUUGGGGAUGGGAAAGGUUCCACUUCCAAAGUUAUCUUGCCCCUGUGAGAGCAGAUGGUGCACACAGUCUCCGUCCCUUGUGACUGUGGCUAGCCUGUGAAAUAUAAACAAAUCCGUGUGCCCACCAUAAAAUAUUUGCUGACUUCCAUUCUGAUGUUAGCACAUUCUUAUACUAUACAGGCUGAUUUAAAUCCACAGUUUUUUUUCCCUAGAACCCCAUGUCUCUGAGCCAUAAUCAAAAGAAUUCCAGGUUUACCAGGAAUGUCUUAGGACCAAGAUUUAUGUAGCUGCAAGUUUUCACAUAGCACUAAGUGCAGACUUUUCAGGGAGGCAACAUUUCUUCAAGGCCCAAACAGUCUCAAAACAAUUUCUCAGCCUCUACUGAUUAACUGAAACAUUUCACUCAAAGCCAGAUACAAACAUUUACCAUACAUUUCACUUACAGCCAGACAUAAAGGCCUUACUGUCACCACCUUGAACUAUUUAACAUUCCUUGUGGAAGAACUUUGCACUUUAACUGGUUGAGCAUUAUUAUGUCUAAGAUCAGCUUCAACAUCCAGGGUAAACUGAAGCAGGGUAUGUCAGUGUAUCAGGUGAUUGAUCACUCAGCAGGGUUUUCUUUGAGGGAACAAAGCUUGAUUCUCUGGGGCCAGUGAAAUGCUCCCUGCAGCCAGC
rnacentral:lncRNA from 1 species